AGAGUUUGAUCCUGGCUCAGGAUGAACGCUGGCGGUAUGCUUAACACAUGCAAGUCGAACGAACCCUUCGGGGUUAGUGGCGGACGGGUGAGUAACGCGUGAGGAUCUGCCCUUAGGAGGGGAACAACAGUUGGAAACGACUGCUAAUGCCCCAUAUGCCGAGAGGUGAUACAGUUAAUUCUGCCUAGGGAUGAACUCGCGUCUGAUUAGCUAGUUGGUUGGGUAAUGGCCGACCAAGGCGACGAUCAGUAGCUGGUCUAAGAGGAUGAUCGGCCACACUGGGACUGAGACACGGCCCAGACUCCUACGGGAGGCAGCUGGGGAAUUUUCCGCAAUGGGCGAAAGCCUGACGGAGCAAUACCGCGUGAGGGAGGAAGGCCUUAGGGUUGUAAACCUCUUUUCUCUGGGAAGAAGAUCUGACGGUGCCAGAGGAAUAAGCCUCGGCUAACUCCGUGCCAGCAGCUGCGGUAAGACGGAGGAGGCAAGCGUUAUCCGGAAUUAUUGGGCGUAAAGCGUCCGUAGGCGGUUAAUUAAGUCUGUUGUUAAAGCCCACAGCUCAACUGUGGAUCGGCAAUGGAAACUGGUUGACUAGAGUGUGGUAGGGGUAGAGGGAAUUCCCGGUGUAGCGGUGAAAUGCGUAGAUAUCGGGAAGAACACCAGUGGCGAAGGCGCUCUACUGGGCCACAACUGACGCUGAUGGACGAAAGCUAGGGGAGCGAAAGGGAUUAGAUACCCCUGUAGUCCUAGCUGUAAACGAUGGAUACUAGGUGUUGGACGUAUCGACCCGUGCAGUACCGUAGCUAACGCGUUAAGUAUCCCGCCUGGGGAGUACGCACGCAAGUGUGAAACUCAAAGGAAUUGACGGGGGCCCGCACAAGCGGUGGAGGAUGUGGUUUAAUUCGAUACAACGCGAAGAACCUUACCAAGGCUUGACAUCCUGCGAAUCUUUCAGAGAUGAGAGAGUGCCUUCGGGAGCGCAGAGACAGGUGGUGCAUGGCUGUCGUCAGCUCGUGUCGUGAGAUGUUGGGUUAAGUCCCGCAACGAGCGCAACCCUCGUCCUUAGUUGCCAUCAUUAAGUUGGGCACUCUGGGGAGACUGCCGGGGACAACUCGGAGGAAGGUGGGGACGACGUCAAGUCAUCAUGCCCCUUACGUCUUGGGCUACACACGUCCUACAAUGCUACAGACAGAGGGCAGCAAGCGCGCGAGUGCAAGCAAAUCCCAUAAACUGUGGCUCAGUUCAGAUUGCAGGCUGCAACUCGCCUGCAUGAAGGCGGAAUCGCUAGUAUCGCAGGUCAGCAUACUGCGGUGAAUACGUUCCCGGGCCUUGUACACACCGCCCGUCACACCAUGGGAGUUGGCCACGCCCGAAGUCGUUACUCUAACCGUUCGCGGAGGAGGGCGCCGAAGGCAGGGCUGAUGACUGGGGUGAAGUCGUAACAAGGUA
rnacentral:rRNA from 1 species